rnacentral:misc_RNA from 1 species
GAGAAAUUCUGACCUGCUUUACUACUGCCGUAUUGCGCUCCAUAUACAUGCUCCCUGACAGGUUCAUAACCAGAUAAAGGUGGUGCUGCCGAGCGCUGAAUAACUGGCUGAGCCACAGGAUCCUGAAGUACUGGUUUGAGAGUUGGAUACAGACAUGGUGUAGGUCUAAACAUCUCUGUUAACUUCUCCACCUGCAUAAGAGUCAGCUCAGUCUUAAACUUGUGUGUCUUUUCAUCAUAGUUGUCUCUAAUUGCUUUCUUGAACACAUUCUCUGGUAGUGGAAUACAGUCCUUGUGAAUCCUAAAAGGAACCUGAGCAGGGAAUGCCCCACCGAAUGCCGCUGGUUGAAGUCUCAUUCCACCAGCAGAAGAUGCCUCAUAGACACCAUACAUGAGCUUAAGAUCGAAAUCAAAGAGGAAAAGCUUAAGACCAGGUUUGAUUCCCAUCACAAAGUGUUGUUUGCUUGCAGAAACACCCAUCACACGAUAUCUGAAACAAUCUUCUUUCGUUCUCGCAUUGCACAUGAAAAUUACUCCACCAAGACUAUUCAAAGUUUUUGCAUCCUUAUUUACCUCUCCCCGUCCUUCAUUUAGAUCAAGGCUCUUUUGAGUUUUUUCAUACUUAGUCAUCUCUCCACAUCUUUCACUCGUGUCCAGUUCAUUGUUUCCUUUAUUGAUAUUUUCAGACUCACUUGCAUCUUUUUCACCAACAUGAUUUCCUUUGUUGCCAUUUUUUGCCUUCUUGUGUUUG